UGCAAGUCGAGGGGCAGCACGGGAGCAAUCCUGGUGGCGACCGGCAAACGGGUGCGGAACACGUACGCAACCUUCCCAUAACUGGUGAAUAGCCUUUCGAAAGAGAGAUUAAUACACCGUAACAUAACGAAGAGGCAUCUCUUUGUUAUUAUAGUAGCAAUACGGUUUUGGAUGGGCGUGCGCCUGAUUAGGUAGUUGGCGGGGUAACGGCCCACCAAGCCUGCGAUCAGUAACUGGUGUGAGAGCACGACCAGUCACACGGGCACUGAGACACGGGCCCGACUCCUACGGGAGGCAGCAGUAAGGAAUAUUGGUCAAUGGACGCAAGUCUGAACCAGCUAUGCCGCGUGAAGGAUGAAGGCCCUCUGGGUUGUAAACUUCUUUUAUCUGGGACGAAAAAAGCUCUUUCUAGAGCACUUGACGGUACCAGAGGAAUAAGCACCGGCUAACUCCGUGCCAGCAGCCGCGGUAAUACGGAGGGUGCAAGCGUUAUCCGGAUUUACUGGGUUUAAAGGGUGCGUAGGUGGGUCUGUAAGUCAGUGGUGAAAUCUCCGAGCUUAACUCGGAAACUGCCAUUGAUACUAUAGGUCUUGAAUUAUCUGGAGGUAAGCGGAAUAUGUCAUGUAGCGGUGAAAUGCUUAGAUAUGACAUAGAACACCAAUUGCGAAGGCAGCUUACUACGGAUCGAUUGACACUGAGGCACGAAAGCGUGGGGAUCAAACAGGAUUAGAUACCCUGGUAGUCCACGCCCUAAACGAUGGAUACUCGACAUCAGCGAUACACUGUUGGUGUCUGAGCGAAAGCAUUAAGUAUCCCACCUGGGAAGUACGAUCGCAAGAUUGAAACUCAAAGGAAUUGACGGGGGUCCGCACAAGCGGUGGA
rnacentral:rRNA from 1 species